rnacentral:rRNA from 1 species
CGCAUGGUGCAGGGGCAAAAACUCCGGUGGUGUGAGAUGGGCCCGCGUCUGAUUAGGUAGUUGGUGAGGUAACGGCUCACCAAGCCGACGAUCAGUAGCCGACCUGAGAGGGUGACCGGCCACAUUGGGACUGAGAUACGGCCCAGACUCCUACGGGAGGCAGCAGUCGGGAAUAUUGCGCAAUGGAGGAAACUCUGACGCAGUGACGCCGCGUAUAGGAAGAAGGUUUUCGGAUUGUAAACUAUUGUCGUUAGGGAAGAAAAAAGACAGUACCUAAGGAGGAAGCUCCGGCUAACUACGUGCCAGCAGCCGCGGUAAUACGUAGGGAGCAAGCGUUAUCCGGAUUUAUUGGGUGUAAAGGGUGCGUAGACGGGUAAUCAAGUUAGUUGUGAAAUCCCUUGGCUUAACUGAGGAACUGCAACUAAAACUGGUUAUCUUGAGUACAGGAGAGGUAAGUGGAAUUCCUAGUGUAGCGGUGAAAUGCGUAGAUAUUAGGAGGAACACCAGUGGCGAAGGCGACUUACUGGACUGUAACUGACGUUGAGGCACGAAAGUGUGGGGAGCAAACAGGAUUAGAUACCCUGGUAGUCCACACCGUAAACGAUGGAUACUAGGUGUAGGAGGUAUUAAGCCUUCUGUGCCGUCGCAAACGCAGUAA